CAAAACAGAAGAGAGGUACAUAUCAUCAUGAUAUAUGCGGCAAUUUUGGUAUUUAUAGUAUUAAAUCUGAGCACAAUGUACAGAUAAGAGAUUGUCUUGUUCGUGAGGUUAGUUUAGCUCAUAGUGAAAAGUAUAAGGAAGCUGAUGUUGCAGUUGCUGUCAAGCGCAAAUAUGAAAGUUUGCGGAGAACAUAUAAAAAGAA